AGAGUUUGAUCCUGGCUCAGGAUGAACGCUAGCUACAGGCUUAACACAUGCAAGUCGAGGGGCAGCAUGGACCCAGCUUUGCUGGGUUUGAUGGCGACCGGCGCACGGGUGAGUAACGCGUAUCCAACCUGCCCUUUACUCCGGGAUAGUCUCCUGAAAGGGAGUUUAAUACCGGAUGUGUUUGUCUUUCCGCAUGGGAGCGACAAAUAAAGAUUAAUUGGUAAAGGAUGGGGAUGCGUCCCAUUAGCUUGUUGGCGGGGUAACGGCCCACCAAGGCGACGAUGGGUAGGGGUUCUGAGAGGAAGGUCCCCCACAUUGGAACUGAGACACGGUCCAAACUCCUACGGGAGGCAGCAGUGAGGAAUAUUGGUCAAUGGGCGGGAGCCUGAACCAGCCAAGUAGCGUGAAGGACGACGGCCCUACGGGUUGUAAACUUCUUUUAUAAGGGAAUAAAGUUCGCCACGUGUGGUGUUUUGUAUGUACCUUAUGAAUAAGCAUCGGCUAAUUCCGUGCCAGCAGCCGCGGUAAUACGGAAGAUGCGAGCGUUAUCCGGAUUUAUUGGGUUUAAAGGGAGCGUAGGCGGGCUUUUAAGUCAGCGGUCAAAUGUCGUGGCUCAACCAUGUCAAGCCGUUGAAACUGUAAGCCUUGAGUCUGCACAGGGCACAUGGAAUUCGUGGUGUAGCGGUGAAAUGCUUAGAUAUCACGAAGAACUCCGAUCGCGAAGGCAUUGUGCCGGGGCAUAACUGACGCUGAGGCUCGAAAGUGCGGGUAUCAAACAGGAUUAGAUACCCUGGUAGUCCGCACGGUAAACGAUGAAUGCUCGCUAUGGGCGAUAUAUUGUCCGUGGCCAAGCGAAAGCGUUAAGCAUUCCACCUGGGGAGUACGCCGGCAACGGUGAAACUCAAAGGAAUUGACGGGGGCCC
rnacentral:rRNA from 1 species